GACGAACGCUGGCGGCGUGCUUAACACAUGCAAGUCGAACGGAAAGGCCCUGCUUUUGUGGGGUGCUCGAGUGGCGAACGGGUGUGUAACACGUGAGUAACCUGCCCUUGACUUUGGGAUAACUUCAGGAAACUGGGGCUAAUACCGGAUAGGAGCUCCUGCUGCAUGGUGGGGGUUGGAAAGUUUCGGCGGUUGGGGAUGGACUCGCGGCUUAUCAGCUUGUUGGUGGGGUAGUGGCUUACCAAGGCUUUGACGGGUAGCCGGCCUGAGAGGGUGACCGGCCACAUUGGGACUGAGAUACGGCCCAGACUCCAACGGGAGGCAGCGGUGGGGAAUAUUGCACAAUGGGCGGAAGCCUGAUGCAGCAACGCCGCGUGCGGGAUAACGGCCUUCGGGUUGUAAACCGCUUUCGCCUGUGACGAAGCGUGAGUGACGGUAAUGGGUAAAGAAGCACCGGCUAACUACGUG
rnacentral:rRNA from 1 species